UACGGGGGGUGCGAGCGUUGUCCGGAAUCACUGGGCGUAAAGGGCGCGUAGGUGGCUUGGUAAGCGCGUGGUGAAAGCCCGGGGCUCAACCCCGGGUCUGCCAUGCGAACUACUAUGGCUUGAGCACUGUAGAGGCAGGUAGAAUUCCGGGUGUAGCGGUGGAAUGCGUAGAGAUCCGGAAGAAUACCGGUGGCGAAGGCGGCCUGCUGGGCAGUGGCUGACACUGAGGCGCGACAGCGUGGGGAGCAAACAGG
rnacentral:rRNA from 1 species